GGCUGGUCCAGGUGCAGUGGUGUUUACAGCUAAUUGAUCACAGCCAGUUACAGAUUUCUUUGUUCCUUCUCCAUUCCCAUUGCUUCACUUGACUAGCCUAAA
ensembl:misc_RNA Y_RNA Y RNA